GGUCUGUAGGUGUUGUGGCAGCACGCCGCCGUGGUAAGGCGGAAGAUCGGGUUCGAGCCCCGGACGGACCU
rnacentral:tRNA from 1 species